AGGAUUACCGACGCGUUUUCCUUCUCUCUCCCCAUACUCUUUCCCUGCCAAACCCUAUUUCCUCUCCCGUUUCACUCUCCGUAGCAGCGGCGGCGGCGGCUAGCACGAGUAGCGGCGGCGAGCGGGUAGUCGGCGGCGGUGAAUGGCGAGGGCUGACCAGUGCAUCUCUCCCCGGAGCACCAGAUGGUGAUAGAGGACUGAGCCAGCGACCAAGAAGAAGCUCAGCAGCAGCCUUCUUCAUAUUUGGUGGACUAACCAAAGAAUCAAAGAUACUUUGCAACAGAACCUCGCGACAGGCAAGGGGUACGCGAAGUCUCACUUCUUGUCGAUAGUGAGGAAGCAAAGAGGCGGAUGCGGGACGGAGAGAAUGGAGAGUCCUGCGACGGUUAUGGAGAAGACGUUGAAGCCUUGAAUUGGUUCACA